rfam:Trichophyton rubrum CBS 118892 genomic scaffold supercont2.4, whole genome shotgun sequence.
UCCUUGAUGGUCUAGUGGUCAUGAUUUCCGCUUGUCAACUUCGCUUAGUAAGCGGGUAACAAGCGCGGGAGACCGGGGUUCGAUUCCCCGUCAGGGAG